rnacentral:tRNA from 4 species
GCGUUCUUAGCUCAGUUGGUAGAGCGUCGCCCUUACAAGGCGAAUGUCGGCGGUUCGACCCCGUCAGGACGCACCA